rnacentral:rRNA from 1 species
UACAGAGGGGGCAAGCGUUGUUCGGAAUUACUGGGCGUAAAGGGCGCGUAGGCGGCCUUCUAAGUCGAACGUGAAAUCCCUGGGCCCAACCCAGGAACUGCGUCCGAUACUGGAAGGCUUGAAUCCGGGAGAGGGAUGCGGAAUUCCAGGUGUAGCGGUGAAAUGCGUAGAUAUCUGGAGGAACACCGGUGGCGAAGGCGGCAUCCUGGACCGGUAUUGACGCUGAGGCGCGAAAGCCAGGGGAGCAAACGGG